rnacentral:misc_RNA from 1 species
UUGCUGCAACUCGUUCCGGGAAGAUGAUGAAUGGGACUGAUGCGAGUGCCUCGAGAUUUUCUGCUAUCAGCAGAGGCUUAAACGAUGGGACUGCGACUGGACACCAAGUUCAGGAAGUGGAGCAGAGGGGAGGUUUCUUGGAUCAACCCAAGGAGCACAGACGUCACAGCAUGAAGAAGUGCCUGGAGUUGGGUGCUUGGAGCAGUCUUCCGUGCGAGUCCGGGUGCCACCAGAAGUCCUCCUAGCCAGCUAAAGCAGGAGUGUGUGGAGUUGCGUUCUCGAGCCGUCGUCCGUGGGAGUCCCGGUACCACCAGACGUCCUCCUAGCCAGCAGGCCGCCCUUUGCCGCCGUCGGAGAAGAUAUUCUACUGCACAAGCCGACACGCCUGCAAAGCAAUUACACCGAAUUGCAGAAUCGUCCCGCCACACUCAACCUUCCUGCACACUGUACGAUGCGCGCGGCAAAUAAUUUUUGCUCGCGCUCUUUCACCGCUGGCAAAUUCAUCGCGCAAGGCGCCCGUGAAUCGUGACGAACAAGACUACACACACCUGGAUGGGCUGGCCCGGUAGGAGCACGUCUGGUGGCAUCGAGACUGACACGGGAGACCGGCUCGAGGUUCCAACUCCACGUACACCUGCAAGUUGAGGCCAGGAUGAAUGCGUAUGAACAUUGGUUAUACAUUCUUACGUUGCUGUGAUUGUAUUCGAAUAAAACGCCACGGUGUUUGGC